UUAAAAUUGUGUCUCUCGCAGGUGAUUUUUUGUCCAACUUGCUGCAUAUUUCGCCGUACACGGACAUAUCACAAAAUAUAUGAAAUCUACAAAUCGUUUAGUUGUUUACAUUUGCCAAGGAGACGCAAAGUGCCGGGGAAUAUUUCCCCGGUAGUUAGUUAGGAAUCUGUCCAAUUAGCAUCCAGUAAUCAACAAGAGUUCAAUUUCCCGACCGGGAUAAGUAUUUUCCCGCUCUUUUCUUCAAUUUUUUGUUGAGAUUUUGUACUUCAGGUUUCAGCACAAAAUUUUCUUGAUUAAAUGUGGAUUUUUUACAGAAAAAAGGCCAGAAGAGUACCGGUGUUCUGGUUUAGAAUAUAUAUUUGAAGGUAAGGUUGUGUCUUAUGGACUUUUAUGUUAUAUUUUUGGUAUAUUGCAUUCAAUUUUUUUACAAACAAACCUGUGGCGGUUUCGCGUUUAAACAGGCUGAACACACGGCGACUGUCCAGGCUGUCAACAUUUAAAAUCCUUCUAGUGCAGAUUGGAAUAGUAUUUCUUAAUUCUUUUAAGACUGAAAUGGACCUUCAGCAACUUUUACAUGAUGUGCCAGGCGAGUUUUUUCCAGAAGGAAGGCAGCCUUUCUUGAGAAAGACGGUUCAAAGACCAAGAGUCCAAGUAUUAUUGAAAAUAGCAGUUUACCCCACUGUCAAAUAAACCAGGACGAAAUCUGCCCUGUUUUUCAUAAAAAUUAGCUUCUGUUUGUGUAUAAAAUUUAUAAAAUGCAAUACAUUUAUAGUCAAAAGAGGACAACCUUUGAAACGUGAUGAAGGUUUUAUAUUUUAGAAUCUGAUAUAAGUUUUUUAUAUUAUUCAGUAGAAGAAGAAUUGGUCAUAGCUUUCUUGGUAGUGAUGGCUCGAGCUUCAAAUAAUAAGGUGAAAAACUAUUAUUUUUAUUCACUGCAGAGUAUGAGCUAUGGUAUCUAAUAUGGGGCCUGGAUAUGUAUUCCCUUCCAAAUUUUUCCUUUUUCCCCCACAAAGAUUUCACCAUGUUUCCUUGUUUUCCCAACUUUAUGGUCCCUUGUUUUUUAUCAUUUUUUCUUCAAAUUCUGAUUGCAAAAUAUGCAUUGUUCUCUGGUUUCCUAAAACCAGCCCUGGGAGACCCUCAGUACAGUCUCACAAUUAUUUGGUGUUAAGAAUUUUAGGACCCAAAGGCAACUGACAAUGGCUUCCUCUUCAUAUUUCCAUUUCAGAACCAUGAAAAACUAGUUUGAUAUAAAUAUUAUAAUAUGAAAUAAGUUCCUCUAUGAACAUUGCCAGG